UACGUAGGGUGCAAGCGUUGUCCGGAAUUAUUGGGCGUAAAGAGCUCGUAGGCGGUUUGUUGCGUCGGCUGUGAAAUCCCGAGGCUCAACCUCGGGUCUGCAGUCGAUACGAGCAAACUAGAGUGUUGCAGGGGAGACUGGAAUUCCUGGUGUAGCGGUGAAAUGCGCAGAUAUCGGGAGGAACACCAGUGGCGAAGGCGACUACCUGGCCUGUUCUUGACGCUGAGGCGCGAAAGCUAGGGGAGCAAACAGG
rnacentral:rRNA from 1 species